rnacentral:rRNA from 1 species
GACGAACGCUGGCGGCGUGCUUAACACAUGCAAGUCGAACGGAAAGGCCCUGCUUUUGUGGGGUGCUCGAGUGGCGAACGGGUGAGUAACACGUGAGUAACCUGCCCUUGACUUUGGGAUAACUUCAGGAAACUGGGGCUAAUACCGGAUAGGAGCUCCUGCUGCAUGGUGGGGGUUGGAAAGUUUCGGCGGUUGGGGAUGGACUCGCGGCUUAUCAGCUUGUUGGUGGGGUAGUGGCCUACCAAGGCUUUGAUGGGUAGCCGGCCUGGGAGGGGGACCGGCCACAUUGGGACUGAGAUACGGCCCAGACUCCUACGGGAGGCAGCAGUGGGGAAUAUUGCACAAUGGGCGGAAGCCUGAUGCAGCAACGCCGCGUGCGGGAUGACGGCCUUCGGGUUGUAAACCGCUUUCGCCUGUGACGAAGCGUGAGUGACGGUAAUGGGUAAAGAAGCACCGGCUAACUACGUG